rnacentral:rRNA from 1 species
UUGCACGCUGGCGGCAGGCCUAACACAUGCAAGUCGAACGGUAACAGGAAGAAGCUUGCUUCUUUGCUGACGAGUGGCGGACGGGUGAGUAAUGUCUGGGAAACUGCCUGAUGGAGGGGGAUAACUACUGGAAACGGUAGCUAAUACCGCAUAAUGUCGCAAGACCAAAGAGGGGGACCUUCGGGCCUCUUGCCAUCGGAUGUGCCCAGAUGGGAUUAGCUAGUAGGUGGGGUAACGGCUCACCUAGGCGACGAUCCCUAGCUGGUCUGAGAGGAUGACCAGCCACACUGGAACUGAGACACGGUCCAGACUCCUACGGGAGGCAGCAGUGGGGAAUAUUGCACAAUGGGCGCAAGCCUGAUGCAGCCAUGCCGCGUGUAUGAAGAAGGCCUUCGGGUUGUAAAGUACUUUCAGCGGGGAGGAAGGGAGUAAAGUUAAUACCUUUGCUCAUUGACGUUACCCGCAGAAGAAGCACCGGCUAACUCCGUG